UAUAUAUUUAUUAACAUGUAUUUACUGGUGUAUUAAAAAAAUAGUGGGACUAGUCCAAUUAAAUAUGCGGCAGUACGGCACUGACCUUAUCAUACAACUAGAAGAAAUAUUUUAUGUCAAAUAUUAAGAUAAGUAGUUUUAAUAUCUCUUCCGAUAUAUACCCGUCUUCUAAAAUAGAUAACUAUUCUACUCAAAUAAAAUAAAUACGCCAAUCAAAUGUAAGUAAUUAUUUGUUUGUAAAUAUACUUGGUAGAUAAAAAAAUUACACUAAAAUGGUUAUUUUCUCAUUUGCUUAAUAAUGUUUUUAACAGAACUGUGGCUAUAAAAAUAGCUUUUUUUGUGUGUGAAGAUUUUGACUUCAUAAUGCAAACAUGGUGCAAAUUUUCUUUUUACCACUAAGGAUUGACAUCCUAAGAGAUAAAAAUUCGAUUCUUUAGUCUAUAGAAUAAACAUUAUUAAAUGGUAUCUAAAAUAAAAUAGAACUCUGAAAAAAUAUAGUGUCCAAUCAUCAAGGAAAAAGAAGUCAUGUCUUGGUUAAGAAAUAUCUAACUGUUACUACUGCACUAAUAAAUAAAAUCUAACUGUAAAUAAAUAUAAUCUAACUAUUAUUCUUGUCUUAUUAAGGCAUCAACAUUCAUAGAAACAAAGCUUUAUCAUUCUAAAUUCUCUUAGUUGAAACUUUGCAAUGAUAAUUAAAAUAUAUCUGGUAUGCUUAAGGGUAAAAAUAAAUCAAAAUAACUUAACUUCUGAAGCAUAACAUAAUUUACCAUUAAAAUAAAAACAUUAAUAGAAGCAAGUUGAUCACUCAAUGUUUGCUUUAUUAAUUUCUCUCCAUAAUACCUGAAAUAAAAUAAAUGUGACAUAAAAAUGAAAGUUAAAAACAUAACGAUCUGAUUAUAAUCAAACCUUAAAAAAAUCAAUCAAAAAUAUUAAAUCAAUACUGAAGAACAGGCGUUUUUGCUAUAAGAAUUUAAUAAAAUUAAGUUUAUUUUCUUUAUAUUGACUUAAUAAAAUUACAUGACACUUGUCUUCUGUAUGCAGUGGCAAACAGUAAAGCAAAAGUUUCACCAGGGCUCUGAAUUAAAACCUAGCAACGAAAAUAAAAUGUAUUCAUGAUAUUAACAUCAGAAAGUAUGGGAGAGGUUAAUGUUUUUUGUUAUAAUGUUUUAGGGUAAAAAAAUUAAAAUAACUUAACUCCAGAUGCAUUACACAUUUUACCAUUUAAAUAGAAAAAUCAUUAAUGAAUAAAAAAAGCCAACCUUUUAAUGUUUUUAAUGUUUGAGCAAUUAGUCACAUUAAUAUAGGUUAUAAUAUAAAAUAUGUCUAAAGUAUAUUGGUUAAAUAAAAUAUCUUAACACUAACAUUUUGUCUUGUUAAUGCAUUAGGAUCUAUGCAUCACAUCAACAUAUUUGUGACAAGUCAAGUAAAUAGUUGAGUUUAACUAUAAGUGAGCUUUUCUGUUUGCCAGGAAGGUGUUCGUGUAAAUGUUACUCACUUUGCAACCAAAUUAACAUUAAUAGAUAAUGUUCAUUACCAAAGUACCUGAAAUAAGAACAGUUAUAUAGAAUUAAUGAAUGAAUUAAAGUCCUUUUAUAAGCAUACAAAAAAAAGGAGGAGAUAGGUAAAACAUUUCUAAUAAAAAGAUUUACAUCUGUAAAUAAAAUCUAUUAAUGCAAGUAUAUAAACUAUAUUAUUAUUUACAAUUACACAUACCUUAUUAUUACUAAUUCACACAAUAUUUGCUUAUAAUAACAUCAAAUCACUGCUUAUGAUGUCUUCAGAUAAUUUAUAUUUGCGUUUUCAUUUGGUUUCCAAUAGGAAACUAUAUAUAAAACAUUAUUUUUUUAUAAUGCGAAGAAGCCGCCCAUUGUACAUGUCUUGGCUUUUAGUGUUAGCAUUUUACCACAUGUGGCAUGUAUUUCUUCCAACAGCAUCUUCGUUGAGAAUGCCUGCAAUAUCUGCAGCUUCUUUUCCAGAUCUGGGAAGAGUUGUUUUACUUGCAGAGAACUGUUUGCAAAACUUUUGGUUUGGAUACAAAAGACCAAGUGAAAAUGAUACUGGAAAGACUGCUUACCGUUUGACUCCUGUCCCAAUCUAACCUAGUGGGUUCAAUAAGAAAGAACCGCGUUGGAAACAUGAGGGAGUUAAAAGGAUCAUCCGUUUUUGAAUUAAUAGUCGAAGUUGUAACCAGCUCGUGUGAAAGGAUUUCUCGACGUGAAAUAGUUAAUUUUAUUCAACUACGCCAAGAAACAGAGCUCGCUCAAGAAACAGAAAAGAAAGAGAAAGAUGAAAAAGUUUUCUAUUGAACAAUACUGUUGUUUUAUUUAUAA